UACGUGUCUGAUGUGAUAAACUUGUUAGCA
rnacentral:piRNA from 1 species